rnacentral:lncRNA from 1 species
UGAGCAUUAAAUGAAGGAAUAGCUUAAGGAGCAAGUUUAUGCUUUUAACAAAAGAAUUUCUCUCUCUCUCCUCCCCUCAAAACUCACGCCUCUCUCUCUACUCUCUCUCCCUCUCACUCUUUUCUCUCUCUAUCACCAUUGUUAAUUAAACUCUAAGCUUCAAAGAUCAAUUUUAUACCUAGAUCUCGACCUAAAAUCAAAUCAAAAUUCAUUUCCCAUUAAUCAAGACCAAGGUUGAUGGAGUUUCAAGCUUGAAGUCAAGAGAGAAGAUUUUUAUGUCUAUUCAAAAUCAUUGAGUAAGUGUUGAAUUUGCUUAGAUCUAGUUAUAAUUGUGUUAGAUAUGAGUGUAUAUGGUUAGAUCAAGCAAGAAAACACCACCCUUCUAAUUCAUUAAAAAUUUUGAAAAUUAGGGUUCAUGCCCUUUAAAAAAUUUUCUUUUUCUUUUCUUAAAUUGAGGUGAUAUUUAAGCAAUUGGGAUCUUAUUGAAUCUAUUUCCAUAUGCAAAGAAAUGAUUUAAAAUGAAUUAUGGAUUUUGAGUUAGUUUAGUUUACCUAUUUUUGAGAUUUUUUUUUCUUUUUUUUAUCUUGAGGAUUAUUGAUGAAUUGGUGAUUGAUAUGUGUUAUUGAGGAUGCUAAUAUGAGAUUUAAUGGAUUGGAUUAAUGAUUGAGAUCGAUUGGUGAAGUUUGAUGCGAGUUAGUUUGAUAGAAUUUGGGCAAAUUUGCUUAUAUGCUUUAAUUUGCUAAUUGAUGGUUUAUAUAUGUAAUGAAGUGGGAUAAUUUGAUAGAUCUAAAGUUUGAUUGAUGAUACAUGCAAGAUUAAAAAUUUUCAAAAAGUUUAGUUUACUUAAAUUUGGGACUUUUUAAUUUAUGUGUUAAAUGAUUAGAUUGGCUAUGGUUAAUUGAUUAUAAGCAUGAUAGGACUAUUUAUUAAUGAUCAAUUUGGUUAAUUGAUGGAUAUGCAUAAAUUUACUCGAGUUUAGUUUGUGUGUGUGAAUGAGAACUUUCAUAUGAGAUGAGUUAUGUGUCGAAAAUAUUUGUAUGUGGCUAAUUGAUGAUUAAUUGAGCCCAUGUAUGCGAUAUGAGACGAAACGAACCAACCCCUAAGGAUUUAGGUCUUGACCGAAUGUGAUGAGAAAAAGGGAAAGCCGAGUUUGAUUUUUCUUGAGUCAUUUGAUCACAUAUUCGUGCUAUUGUGUAUUAUGUGAGCUUAAUGUGAAUUUUUGAGAAUUUUUCAACGAAGAAAUCUAGAGUUUAGUUUGUCAAGAAUGUUAUAAAGUGGAAUAACUUGUUAAUGUAAAUUAUUAUUGGAUAAAUGAUUUAAGAAUGUGUUAUUAUGUGUCUUUGAUUUUCUAAAUUAAUUUUUUGGAAAUUUUUCCCCAACUAUAAAUAUUUUCCAUUUUUUACAAAAAGUUUUUAAGUAUGAUUGCUAAGGUGUUAUUUAACUUGAUUAGUGUCCAUGAGCCAAUUUGAGAUUUAUAUUGCUUUGUGUGUAUGCAUAUCUACGUGUUUGUUUAUUGAUGUGGCUUAGUUCUAUGUGAGUGUUAAGUCGAUAGUAGGAUUGGUGAUUACUUAAGUAGUUUUAUGCUUAUGAGACUAAGAUAGUCGGAGGGUAUUAAUGAGGAGUGACAGAAUAGUACUAAGAUAGGAAUAAUAUUCUUAGUAAGGAAGUUUCUGACCGAUUUCUUUUAUCUUAUCCCAUGAACUAUCUCCGAUGUGAUUCUAUCUGAAGGUAUGAGCAAAGAACGGGAGUGAGUUCACCCCAAGUGUUACGAGAGUGAGCUAAGAUCAUCAGGUGGGCAUUACUUCUACUAUACGUAUAUAGAGAUCCCCUGCGUAUCGUAGGCCUCUUAUACGAAUAUAUGCAUGAUAUUAUUUAACUGUUAUUUUCAGUUUUAUGAAAUGUUGAAAUGAUGAAUGGCUCUUAUGAAAUGAAAUGUUUAUGAAAUGAAAUGAAACGUUUAUGAAAUGAUUGUCUGCCAAGAAUGUUUAUGUUUUACGUAUGUAUCCUAUUUGUGUUGAUUCGCCAACUUUAAAGGAAAUCCAAUUGGGACCCUAUGCUAGACAAAGGUAUGCUAGUACGGGUUAACGUGUACACUCAUGGAGACCGCGAGUCACUUGUGACCAGUCUUGGCAUUCGUGGAAGGAGGCCUCCUUACCGGCCCGUGACAGAAAAGGACAGAUAUGGAACAUAUGAAAGGAAAAUGAUCGGCCGAUCGACUUUAUGAAAAUCAAAUAAAUGUUUUAGUAAACACAGGUCUUUCAAGAAAACCCCUAUGUGUUACUGUUUGGCAGUACAAAUUAUAUAUGUGUAUGCAUGUUUGUGUUUUCGGCAUGUGCCCACUGAGUAUUUUUAUACUCAGCCCUGCAUGUAUUUUUAAAUGUGCAGGUUGAGCAGCUGAUGGAAUGGAAUGGUGUUGAGCGGGUGUUCCUUUGUCAUUUCAAGAAAUGUAACCUUGAGUAUACAUCUUCAUAUGUAUAUCUCACACGUAUUCCGCUGCGAAACACUUUGAUUAUGGUAACUCUAUGUUAUGAAUAGGGGUGUAAAAUCGGGUACCCGCGAGUACCCUACCCGCAAAAUGGCGGGACAAAAUCGCCCGAAACAUCCACCCUCACCCGACCCGCCUGCAUGCCGUGGGUACCCGAAUACCCGCUGCGGGUAUGACGGUACCCUCGAUUUCCCGCAAUUUCUUAAUUGGUUUUAAUUGUGCGGGUAUUUUGUCCCGCUGGAGGGUAUUUGUCCCGCUGGAGGGUAUUUCUUAUCCCGCAAUGUGCGGGUACCCUCUUUACCCGUAGGAAUUAUUUUAUAAAUUAAUUACCAUUCAAAUCAAUUUGAACUCAAUUUUAAAAUAAAAGUUACUUUUUUAAUAUAGUAUAGAUAAAUAUAGAAUUGUGACAGUACGAAGAACUAAACUGAAAUUAAUUAUUAAAAUCUACCUAAUCAAUUAAAGCUCCAAACAUAUGUUUGAAAUAUUGGAAUGCUUAGUAAAUGCAUCCAAACGUAUAAUUGAAAUAUUCUCACAUUUUUGUACUCGCAGUCUAUGUUUUUUUUUUUUUUUUGAAACCGUACUCACAGUCUAUUAAAUGCAUAUAUAAAAAUUAAAUUAAUUCAUAAGUAUAAAAAUGAUUAAACUAAAAAUUUAAUUUGCGGGUAUGCGGGUACCCGUCGGGGUAUCCGCGAGUACCCGAUACCCACAUUUUUUUAGAAACUAAUACCCGCACCCGACCCUCCACCCGAAUUUUGCGGGUAUCGGGUACCCGAUACCCGCGCGGGUAUCGGGACGGGUGAGGGUAUACCCGAUACCCGCAACCCGAUUUUACACCCCUAGUUAUGAAGUCAAUGCAUUCGUUUUUGGGUAAUCCAUCUCAAUUAGGUCAUCCUUAUGUGAAUGUUUUGUAAGUAUUUGAAUGAUCAAAUAUGAUCCUAGUACUUUCUUUUAAUGUCAUAUUUUCUCAAAAUACUUUUAUGUUAAGUAAAUGCCCUUUCUUUCACCGUUUAUUAACCCACAUCCCAAGUUAUAACUGUGUCUAAACCACCAUUAGGAAUAGCGGACUGUGACAAAUAAUCUGCUGCAUGCAACUCCUUCAUGCACCCAACAAAUCGUUGGAUAAAGCAGAUAACAAACUUCUGCAUGCGAGUCAUUGCACCUCUUCAUAUUUGUGUAGACACUCCCUCACAGUGACUUUGUUUUAUCAGUUGAUUGAUGCCAUCAAUAAAAUUAGAAAUUUCAUAUUUAUAAUUGAUUUCAUAAAU